GCUAAUGGUAGAAGAGCGGACACAUGUUGAUGUAUAAAGGACAUGAACAAGUGUAUAAAGCAUAAUAGGUGACCUUUAAAUAAUAUGGUAUCUGUAUCAGAGUAUUUUCACGUUACAAACUAUGUGUUAAAAUAUUGUUUCAGUCUUGACAAAAUCGGGUCCGCUGGGCGAGUGGAGGAGGGCGAAGACAGAGGACAUCACAUCAAGAAACGAGUAAAGCAGCGUCCGUUCCUCUGCGAUGUGAAACUGGUAGAAAGGUGUAGAAACAUAUUUAACAUUUCACCGUCUGCAUGUUCGCUUAAAGUGACCGUGAGCUCCGGAAAACAUUUCACAGCAAACACGCUGAAGCUCUGACUGAUAAUGAAAACGUUUUGAAUGUAGAAACUUGAAAGAAGUGUCAAGAAAAAGGGCUAAACUUAAAAUACAUUCAACCUUUGGAUCGAAUGCAAAACGUGCGGGACAUUUGGUACGAUUUUUCCCUGAUGGCUUUUUUAAAGUUUAUUGCGAUUUAAAAAAGAAAUUGAACAGGAAAUGAGUUUAAAAGACGAAUCAGACGAAGUGUUUGUUGCUAUAAAUCUGAAGGAGCUCAUUCACAAGGUGACACAAGUUAUUGUAGUUUAGCUUUAAAAUAUAUAUUCAAUAUAAAAAACAUACCUGAUGUAUUUUUGAAAUACUGUAAGUGUAUCUAUCAUUGAUGACAGGGGAACUUGGCUUUUUUGAGCUGUCCAAAGUGAACGAAUUCAGGUGAAGCCUCACUUCUUUUCAAAAUAUUUUUUAUU